CUUACACUGCACAGCCAAAGAAAACCAAUUCUCUCUUCACUACGUUCUGGUUGAACAAUUCCGAAGUAGCAGAAGUGGACACACUCUGCUAUUGUUCUCCACUGCUGCAGGAGCCAGAAUCUCUCCUCAUCCGCUGGAGGCAGAGCUGGGCAAACAACAAUUUGCACACUGCAUGGAAAGUGAUGCCAGGAACAUAGCAGAGGAAGAUGUCCUCAGGGUUUUCAAUUUGUAUGGGCUGUUAGCGGUUGAGACAACUGAGAAUUUUCUAUAGAAAUAGCUAUUUGUUGGGUUGGUUUUCUUUUUUUGUUUGUUUGUUUUUGGAAAAUGCUGAUUUAUUGAAUCAGGGAGGGUAUGAGGAGCACUGCUGAAGGCCAGAGUUUGGGCUGGAAACGCACAGAGGUUCUGCUUUGGGAACUGCUGCUGAUGUCCACCCCAUGCAGAUGAGCGAUGACUUCUGGCCUCCCCCAGCGAGCGCCCUGGGACCAUUUCUGCAGCGCAGACUGGAGCUCAGUUUACCAGGAAAUCCACGUUUGCAAUUUCUUCUCUCAGGUGGAUGGCCAGGGAGAGUCGCUGCUUCCUUGAACAGAGUUCGGAACAGGAAAUUGAGAAAAAGAAACCAACACAGCACACAGCUUGUCCAAGAGAAGGAGCUGACUGCUGGCUUUGCAGGCACUAUUUUUACGCCCAAAGGGUAUUUCCAAGCUCCCAAGGGCUUAGUAAUAGAACAGAUCCCAGGGGGAUGUUGGGGAAGGGCUCUGCUGAUGAAAAGAGGUUUCUUCCUGUUUGCUCCCUGCUGGUGGGACGUCUGCCAAGCACAGUCAAUGCUGAGGAACACCUGCAUCCAUCUAAUAACGUGGGCUGAGGAAAAAUCAUGAGAUAAUCGAUAGGAAACCAGAUAGCGCUGAAUGACAGAAGCCUGGAGAGUACAGGGAGAGACGAGCCUUACUUUGUGCAAUUCACCACCUGAAUAAGGAACAGAUUAAGGGACACGGCGGGAGGAUCUUGUGACUGUCCCACACCACCUGAAACUCUCCUCACCCUGUGAGGAUGAAGCAGUGAGGGAUGGGUGCAGACAGAAGCAGCAGCUGCGUGUAGAGCCAACUGGAGCACACAUCGCUCUGCUGCACCCCCAAUGGCAAAGGCAGUGAGGGAGAAAGCCUUCAGCAUCUCCUCCUGCUUCAGCCACAGUCUGUGCACCAGACUCUGCAGCUUUUCCAUGAGUGGUGCUUUCCCAUCAAUCUCAUCCUGAGAGGAGAGCAGAACUAAAAAUCUUUUUUUCCACCCAGGCCUCUGAGCACAAUUGCUGAAACCUG
rnacentral:lncRNA from 1 species